GCAGUCGAGCGGUAGAGAGAAGCUUGCUUCUCUUGAGAGCGGCGGACGGGUGAGUAAUGCCUAGGAAUCUGCCUGGUAGUGGGGGAUAACGUUCGGAAACGGACGCUAAUACCGCAUACGUCCUACGGGAGAAAGCAGGGGACCUUCGGGCCUUGCGCUAUCAGAUGAGCCUAGGUCGGAUUAGCUAGUUGGUGGGGUAAUGGCUCACCAAGGCGACGAUCCGUAACUGGUCUGAGAGGAUGAUCAGUCACACUGGAACUGAGACACGGUCCAGACUCCUACGGGAGGCAGCAGUGGGGAAUAUUGGACAAUGGGCGAAAGCCUGAUCCAGCCAUGCCGCGUGUGUGAAGAAGGUCUUCGGAUUGUAAAGCACUUUAAGUUGGGAGGAAGGGUUGUAGAUUAAUACUCUGCAAUUUUGACGUUACCGACAGAAUAAGCACCGGCUAACUCUGUGCCAGCAGCCGCGGUAAUACAGAGGGUGCAAGCGUUAAUCGGAAUUACUGGGCGUAAAGCGCGCGUAGGUGGUUUGUUAAGUUGGAUGUGAAAUCCCCGGGCUCAACCUGGGAACUGCAUUCAAAACUGACUGACUAGAGUAUGGUAGAGGGUGGUGGAAUUUCCUGUGUAGCGGUGAAAUGCGUAGAUAUAGGAAGGAACACCAGUGGCGAAGGCGACCACCUGGACUAAUACUGACACUGAGGUGC
rnacentral:rRNA from 1 species